GACGAACGCUGGCGGCGUGCUUAACACAUGCAAGUCGAACGAAGUGGCGAACGGGUGAGUAACGCGUAAUCAACCUGCCCUUCAGAGGGGGACAACAGUUGGAAACGACUGCUAAUACCUCAUACUGAAGCAGGGGAUUGCGUCGGAUUUGCUAGUUGGAGGGGUAACGGCCCAACAAGGCGAUGAUCAGUAGGCGGGCUGGGAGGAUGAACGGCCAAAUUGGGACUGGGACAAGGCCCAGGAUCCUACGGGAGGCAGCAGUGGGGAAACUUCCGAAAUGGAGGGAAGUCGGGAGGAGGAACGCCGCGUGAGUGAUGACGGCCUUCGGGUUGUAAAGCUCUGUUAAGCGGGAAGCGGUACCGGAAUAGAAAGCAACGGCUAACUACGUGCCAGCAGCCGCGGUAAUUC
rnacentral:rRNA from 1 species